GCCUGGCUGGCUCAGUUGGUUGAGCGUCCGACUUCAGCCCGGGUCACGAUCUCGCUGUCUGUGAGUUCGAGCCCCGCGUCAGGCU
rfam:Felis catus isolate Cinnamon breed Abyssinian chromosome A1, whole genome shotgun sequence.